GGAGGCGUGGCUGAGUGGCUGAAAGCAGCAACCUGCUAAGUUGUUAGGGGAGAAAUCCUCUCGAAGGUUCGAAUCCUUCCGCCUCCGCCA
rnacentral:tRNA from 1 species